GGAGGCGUCGCAUAGUGGUUUAGUGCACCGGUCUUGAAAACCGGCAGGGCUGCAAGGUCCUCAGAGGUUCGAAUCCUCUCGCCUCCGCCA
rnacentral:tRNA from 1 species